rnacentral:rRNA from 1 species
AUUGAACGCUGGCGGCAGGCCUAACACAUGCAAGUCGAGCGGGGUUUUCGAACCUAGCGGCGGACGGGUGAGUAAUGCGUAGGAAGCUACCUGAUAGAGGGGGAUACCAGUUGGAAACGACUGUUAAUACCGCAUAAUGUCUACGGACCAGAGUGUGGGACCUUCGGGCCACAUGCUAUCGGAUGCGCCUACGUGGGAUUAGCUAGUUGGUGAGGUAAUGGCUCACCAAGGCGACGAUCCCUAGCUGGUUUGAGAGGAUGAUCAGCCACACUGGAACUGAGACACGGUCCAGACUCCUACGGGAGGCAGCAGUGGGGAAUAUUGGACAAUGGGCGCAAGCCUGAUCCAGCCAUGCCGCGUGUGUGAAGAAGGCCUUCGGGUUGUAAAGCACUUUCAGUAGGGAGGAAGCGUUGUGUGUUAAUAGUACACAGCGUUGACGUUACCUACAGAAGAAGCACCGGCUAACUCUGUGCCAGCCGCCGCAGUAAUAC